rnacentral:rRNA from 1 species
CCUACGGGAGGCAGCAGUGGGGGAUAUUGGACAAUGGGGGAAACCCUGAUCCAGCGACGCCGCGUGAGUGAAGAAGUAUUUCGGUAUGUAAAGCUCUAUCAGCAGGGAAGAAAGAAAUGACGGUACCUGAGUAAGAAGCCGCGGCUAACUACGUGCCAGCAGCCGCGGUAAUACGUAGGGGGCAAGCGUUAUCCGGAAUUACUGGGUGUAAAGGGAGCGUAGACGGUAAUGCAAGUCUGGAGUGAAAGGCGGGGGCUCAACCCCCGGACUGCUCUGGAAACUGUGUAACUGGAGUGCAGGAGAGGCAGGCGGAAUGCCUAGUGUAGCGGUGAAAUGCGUAGAUAUUAGGAGGAACACCAGUGGCGAAGGCGGCCUGCUGGACUGUAACUGACGUUGAGGCUCGAAAGCGUGGGGAGCAAACAGGAUUAGAUACCCCUGUAGUC